GAUGAACGCUAGCUACAGGCUUAACACAUGCAAGUCGAGGGACCGGCGUACGGGUGAGUAACGCGUAUCCAACCUUCCCAUUACUGUGGGAUAACCUGCCGAAAGGCAGACUAAUACCGCAUAGUAAUGGAUGGGGAUGCGUCUGAUUAGCUUGUUGGCGGGGUAACGGCCCACCAAGGCGACGAUCAGUAGGGGUUCUGAGAGGAAGGUCCCCCACAUUGGAACUGAGACACGGUCCAAACUCCUACGGGAGGCAGCAGUGAGGAAUAUUGGUCAAUGGACGGAAGCCUGAUGCAGCCAUGCCGCGUGUAUGAAGAAGGCUUCGGGUUGUAAAGUACUUUCAGUCGGGAGGCGUUACCGACAGAAGAAGCACCGGCUAACUCCGUGCCAGCCGCCGCGGUAAUAC
rnacentral:rRNA from 1 species